rnacentral:lncRNA from 1 species
GGAGCAGCUUGUAAUGAAGUCACCCCCACAACCCUGUUACCUCACUCCUUUGGCUUCACAGUGACACCAAGUAUAACAACUGACCUGUCAUCAGCUGUUACGUCCUUUCAAGAUGAACAAACUGCAUAAUGACAAUUUAUGUUCACAGUGACAGCUACAGAAUCUCGCUGUUGUGCAGGCAGGCACGUUCAGGCUUUCACUCUGGAUCUAAAAAGUUUAAUUGGGAGCUCUUAAAGCCUAAAAUAAGGCUUUAAAAGUAAAAAGCUGAAGUCAAAUGCAGCCAGGGAUUUCUUCCCAAACCUAAAUAUUCCCAGACACCUUCUGAACAGGCCCUCAGAGAUUCUAGUAAACUGGGAGGUAUCUCAAGAAGGGCCGUGUUUUCAGUUUUCCUAUUCACCGAGCAAGUGAGAGGCAGCACAGCA